GCCAGCGGGAGGAUGAAACAACCUUAAGUAGAAAUUAGAGAAAAGAUUGUUCCAUGACAACAUCAAGACAAAACUGAGAGGAUGGGGAAGCUAAUUCCUGCAAAGAGUGCAGCGUCCAGAAGAUAUGGAAUGUCCAGAAGACAGCUGGCGCUCAGAAAGCGUAAAGCAAGAGCAAAAGAAACUGCAUCUCUUUUUCAGGACUUGGUUACCUUCUUCCAAUCUCCAACGGGUGAAAGAUUGAUCAUACUUGAGAUUUUCAUCCUUACUGUCAUGACACUGCUGAUUUACAUUCUAUAUCAAAAGGAAGCAAAAAUUAGAGAGGAGGUUCAAAUGGCAAUGGAUAUGAUUCGGACCUUUGUUGUUGGGCUUGAUUCAAUCCAUGAAGAC